CCCUGCCCUUCCUGGAUCUCAGUGGUACUUCCCUGACUGGACCUCAGGGGUCCUGCCCCUCCUAGGUCUCAGUGGUCCUGUCCCUCCUGGAUCUCAGUGGUCCUCCCCCUCCUGGAUCUCAGCAGCCCUGUCCUGCCUGGAUCUCAGCGGCCCUGCCCCUCCUGGA